rnacentral:lncRNA from 10 species
CGGGCCACUAGCCAGUCCACUGGGGACAUCCCUCAGAGAGGGGAGGGGAGGGAGAGACAGGGCGGACACCCAGGCUGGCACACUGUGGCCAGCCACCCGGCUCCACUGACUGGCGGUUUCGUGUCUGGCUCCCUGAGGUCCAGAUGGUCCCAACACGUCCCUGGGGGGUAAGCAGACUCCUGCCCAAACUUGAACUCACAGCUCCAGCCCCCAGAGGCUCCGAGCCAGGACCCCAAAGGAGGGAGAGCUGGCCCCAUGGACUGCCUCACCCUGGCUCUCCUGCCCUGUGGCUUCUGGUUGAAUUCAGCCAAUGGGAGGCACCAGCAGAUAAUCUGAAGAUGGGAGGAGAGAGAGGCACCUCCAGCAACCUUGCUAGACCACAGUGCGGAGGAAGUCCCAUGAAGAAAUAAAGAACAUGUGGUGAAUCACAGAGAAGUGGCUGAAAAGAUUCAAGCCUCAACCUUGGUCCUCCCUAGUCACAUGACCACAGGCAAACCUCUUCUCUCUCAGCCUCAGUUUUUGCAUCAGUGCAAUAGGAAUGGUAUCUGCCAUGCUAACCUCACAGGACUGCUGUGUGUUCAGAUGAAUCAGGUAUGUGAAAGACACUUCUGCAAGCGGGAAAGAGGUGUGCAAAGGCAAUUUGCUUUUACAGAACUUAUAUUACUGUCAUUUCCCAUCGUUAUUUUAAUGCUCAAAAGGUUUGGGAGACAUUUCUGUAACUGAGGUGUUCAUGGUAAGCCCACACUCACUCCUGCUUGGAAAAGGUUUUACAUAGACUGAGGAGACCUGAGGCAGUUGCUGAGCUGCUUAGAACAGAGUCUCUGGGUCACAGCCAUCCCAUUACUGGGCAUAUCCCCAAAGGAUUGUAAAUCAUGCUGCUAUAAAGACACAUGCACACGUAUGUUUAUUGCAGCACUAUUCACAACAGCAAAGACUUGGAACCAACCCAAAUGUCCAUCAAUGAUAGACUGGAUUAAGAAAAUGUGGCACAUAUACACCAUGGAAUACUAUGCAGCCAUAAAAAAGGAUGAAUUCAUGUCCUUUGUAGGGACAUGGAUGAAGCUGGAAACCAUCAUUCUGAGCAAACUAUCGCAAGGACAGAAAACCAAACACUGCAUGCUCUCACUCAUGGGUGGGAAUUGAACAAUGAGAACACAUGGACA